rnacentral:rRNA from 1 species
ACAGAGGUCUCAAGCGUUGUUCGGAUUCAUUGGGCGUAAAGGGUGCGUAGGUGGCGCGCUAAGUCGGGUGUGAAAUGCCGGGGCUCAACCUCGGCACUGCAUUCGAUACUGGCGUGCUUGAGGACUGGAGAGGAGACUGGAAUUCAUGGUGUAGCAGUGAAAUGCGUAGAUAUCAUGAGGAAGACCAGUGGCGAAGGCGGGUCUCUGGACAGUUCCUGACACUGAGGCACGAAGGCCAGGGGAGCAAACGGGA